GCCCGUCUAGCUCAGUCGGUAGAGCGCCAGACUCUUAAUCUGGUGGUCGUGGGUUCGAUCCCCACGGUGGGCA
rnacentral:tRNA from 1 species